GCUUCCCAGCGUCUCCCAAAUCCCGUCUACGCCCUACCUCGCCGACGGCCAGUGCCUGCCAGAACCCUCGAUCGUCUCCUUCCGUGCGUCCGAGGUGGUGGUGCACACAGGAGAGACGGCACACGGAAGGUGCUCAUGGAGGUCACGACCGAAGUAAGAUAGGGCCGCACUUGGCCGGCAACAGACUAUGCGCGCGGCGGGAGGUGGCCAAUUUUCACUGCUGGCUAACCUAUCCGGCUCGCCCCAUGGAGGUGGACAGCCAUUGGGAGGUCACAGCCGUUGCGAGAGGUUGGGUGGAGGCACAGCGGGGCUUCAACGUUCUUGCCUCCGGACGCCCCGGACGAUCAUCCGUGGCUUUUAUGGUUCCGCUGCCUGGAGGCGUUCGUCACCGAGCGAGGUUGGCCUUGCUCCCAUUGCUGCUGUCCAUGGCGGCCGAGAUGGACAUGGCAAACUGCGUAUAUGUCGCAUCCUUGCCGCGGUGAGAUGAGCCGAGGCGAGGUGUAGUCUGAUAUGUAGCUGUAAAGGUUUGUCCUGCUCCAGUUUUUGCUGUGAAAAUACAGAGAAGAAUACAGGGCUGGGCUGCUGGGCCCCCGUCAGAUUGCGGCCCUUGCCAGAUACGGCAUAGUUCAGCAACUCGGUAUGCUUAGAUUAUCCCAUAAUUUACAACCAAAACAUUAACAAAACUGUCAUCUUUUUGCAGGAAAAAGAGAUAGCACAGCUCCUGUUGGCGUGUGGCCCACCCUCUGUCCACCGUUUCUCCUAUGUAGUGCUAAAAUUGCAUGGAGAAGUCUGCACCGUGCGCAAUUUUCUGGACGAUCACCGUUUUGUGAAAAUUCAAAGCGAACAAAACAGGGUUGCACAGCCAAGAUCCGGACAAAUUGUGAUGGGCGUUUAUCUCCUGUUUGCGCGAUGUCAUCAUAUGGAUGUGUUUCUUAAUCUUGAAAUAUUGUGCUUGAGGUGUUAAUGCUGAAGAAUUAAGACUUAACUGUAUUGAGUUUGAUUUGUGGAUAGGCGUCAUUUUACAUUGUACUUUGUGUAGGAACAAUAUGUUGUACAUCUAGAUUGUGAGCCCAAUUGACUUUUGACUACAUUGAAUUGGAGAAGCAUAUUCCCUGUCUCUUCUGUAAAUAGAAGUGCUGAAAAAUUGCUUCCGUGCAUUUGUACAUUUCAAAUUAUUGCCCAUACUUUUAUAUUCCAUUGUAUUUCCUACCAAGAGGGGUGCUGCAGUUUAUAUGAAGUGCCAACUGAGAAGCCUCAUUGUAACUAUACUAUAAAAUUAAAGGACAGUUUUUGAUUAAUGCUUAGUUUUUGUCAAGUACUUCCACUGAUGAUCAUUUUUGAAGUAUAGUUUGGUUGACGAACUGGCCUAUUGUGCAAGUUAUCUCGCGGUAAAUAUUCUCUUCUCUCUUCAUCUCUAACAUUGACUAAUUCAAUGUUUAUGUGUGUGUGCGUGUAUCCAUUGUCCGUUGUAUUUUGAAACAACAUUUUUAAUUAGUGUUCUUAAUUAUGUGCUUCAGUUUAUUACAUACUAUAAAGCAUUAUGAAACAAUAUUACCUAUGUGACUUUGUUUAUAGAUUGUCAAAUCGAGCUUUUAGUUGUAUUAGUCAAGAGAAGUACUUCUAGCAUUAGUGCACAUAGUUUUUUUUUUGUCAACUUUUACUGAUGGCUCUUCUCUUUAUAUAGGUUGUGAGCUGCUAUUGUUACUUCCUGCCUGACAAUUGGUUCAGGAGCUGCUUAUUAUUCAAGUAUAUUGCUCCCCCCUCUUAUAUAUAUGCUUUAUUUUAUUAUUGUUGACAGCAAACUAUUUUGUUACGUACAUGCUUUUUUAACUCUUUUUAAUUUGAAAUAUAUUAUUUGUUAUUAUUCUCAAGUCAGUAUACAAACCACCCUAUGUAGCGAUCUUUCUGUCAUGCUUGCUCGCAGCACAGCAGUCACAGCCUCACAGGUGUUCCAGAAGGUGUUGUUCGUCAGCCUGGUUACUGUUCUUGUAUGAACUUCUUCGCCACAGAGAAGUUUUGGGUCGUACUUACCAAAUAUUACAAAAAAUCUAAAUAGUUAAUUAGUCCAUGUGGCGCGGCGUGCCGCCGCGCACUAUUCGCUAGUUCUUCUUAUGGGUCAAAGUAUCCUAUUGUAUGUAGCUUGUAUGCAACCACGAUGUUAUAGGACGUGGCUGAGUUCAGAUAUUGUAUGCAAUCUUUGCUUCCUGCACUAUAAGUUAGGCAGGAUUAGACUCAUUAAAUUGUUUUUAACA